rnacentral:lncRNA from 1 species
AAAAGGGGUGAUAGAUUUAAAAAGCUGAAGAUUUAUUGAACAGAAGCAGACUAGCAAAGAUCUAUAGAUUAUUGUGUUGUUAAAUGGAGGUCAAGAGCAGGGGUUGCCAAACUUUUUCUGUAAAGGGUAAGUUAGUUAAUAUUUUUAGGCUUUGUGAUUAUAAGAUUAUGCACUGCACAUCUGUGAGGAUACCAUUCUCAUAGUCUGUGAUGUAAAAGGAACCCUGUCGGUUGUGCAAAUCACUUUGCUUCUUCAAGGUUUUUGAUAUAGCCAUAGAACUCUUUAUUUUUACGAAAUCUUG